GAUGAACGCUGGCGGCGUGCCUAAUACAUGCAAGUAGAACGCUGAAGGAGGAGCUUGCUCUUCUGGAUGAGUUGCGAACGGGUGAGUAACGCGUAGGUAACCUGCCUGGGAGCGGGGGAUAACUAUUGGAAACGAUAGCUAAUACCGCAUGACAACAGUUAUUGCAUGAUAACGGUUGAAAAGGGGCAACGGCUCCACUACCAGAUGGACCUGCGUUGUAUUAGCUAGUGGGUGAGGUAACGGCUCACCAAGGCGACGAUACAUAGCCGAACGGAGAGGGGGAUCGGCCACACUGGGAUUGAGACACGGCACAUACUCAUACGGGAGGGAGCAGUAGGGAUUCUUCGGGAAUGGACGGAAGUUUGACCGAGCAAGGCCGAGUGAGUGAAGAAGGUUUUCGGAUCGUAAAGCUCUGUUGUAAGAGAAGAACGCGUGUGAGAGUGGAAAGUUCACACUGUGACGGUAUCUUACCAGAAAGGGACGGCUAACUACGUG
rnacentral:rRNA from 1 species